GCCACAGUGAUGGAAUUGGUAGACUUGGUAGACUCAAAAUCUUCUGCCUUUGGCGUGUCGGUUCGAAUCCGACCUGUGGUA
rnacentral:tRNA from 1 species